rnacentral:rRNA from 1 species
AGCGGCGGACGGGUGAGUAAUGCCUAGGAAUCUGCCUGGUAGUGGGGGACAACGUUUCGAAAGGAACGCUAAUACCGCAUACGUCCUACGGGAGAAAGUGGGGGAUCUUCUGACCUCACGCUAUCAGAUGAGCUUAGGUUGGAUUAGCUAGGUGGUGAGGUAAAGGCUCACCAAGGCGACGAUCCGCAACUGGUCUGAGAGGAUGAUCAGUCACACUGGAACUGAGACACGGCUCCUUUUCCUACGGGAGGCAGCAGAGGGGAAUAUUGGACAAUGGGCUAAAGCCUGAUCCACUCAUGCCGAGGGUGACUUGAAGGACUUCAGAUUGUAAAGCACUUCAAGUUGGGUGGAAGGGCGGUUAUUAAUUACCUUGCUGUUCUGAAGUCACCGACCAAAUCUUCUCAGGAUAACUUUGCGCCUGCAGCGGCGGGAAU